rnacentral:tRNA from 2 species
GGGCCCGUAGCUCAGCCUGGUAGAGCGCCGGGCUCAUAACCCGGUGGUCGCCGGUUCAAAUCCGGCCGGGCCCA